AUUGAACGCUGGCGGAAUGCUUUACACAUGCAAGUCGAACGGCAGCACGGGGGCAACCCUGGUGGCGAGUGGCGAACGGGUGAGUAAUACAUCGGAACGUGCCCAGUCGUGGGGGAUAACGUAGCGAAAGUUACGCUAAUACCGCAUACGAUCUACAGAUGAAAGCGGGGGAUCGCAAGACCUCGCGCGAUUGGAGCGGCCGAUGUCAGAUUAGGUUGUUGGUGGGGUAAAGGCCUACCAAGCCGACGAUCUGUAGCUGGUCUGAGAGGACGACCAGCCACACUGGGACUGAGACACGGCCCAGACUCCUACGGGAGGCAGCAGUGGGGAAUUUUGGACAAUGGGCGCAAGCCUGAUCCAGCCAUUCCGCGUGCAGGACGAAGGCCUUCGGGUUGUAAACUGCUUUUGUACGGAACGAAAAAGCCUCGGUUAAUACCCGGGGUCCAUGACGGUACCGUAAGAAUAAGCACCGGCUAACUACGUG
rnacentral:rRNA from 1 species